rnacentral:rRNA from 1 species
UAGAUACCCUGGUAGUCCACGCAGUAAACGAUGAAUACUAACUGUUUGCGAUACAAUGUAAGCGGUACAGCGAAAGCGUUAAGUAUUCCACCUGGGGAGUACGCCGGCAACGGUGAAACUCAAAGGAAUUGACGGGGGCCCGCACAAGCGGAGGAACAUGUGGUUUAAUUCGAUGAUACGCGAGGAACCUUACCCGGGCUCAAACGCAGGGGGAAUAUAUAUGAAAGUAUAUAGCUAGCAAUAGUCACCU